rnacentral:rRNA from 1 species
UACGUAGGGGGCAAGCGUUGUCCGGAUUUAUUGGGCGUAAAGAGCGUGUAGGCGGCCAAGCAGGUCAGCUGUGAAAACUCGAGGCUCAACCUCGAGACGUCGGUUGAAACCGCUUGGCUAGAGUCCGGAAGAGGAGAACGGAAAUUCCCAGUGUAGCGGUGAAAAUGCGCAGAUAUUGGGAAGAACACCAGUGGCGAAGGCGGUUCUCUGGGACGGUACUGACGCUGAGACGCGAAAACGUGGGGGAGCAAACAGG